rnacentral:misc_RNA from 1 species
CAGAGUACUUUACUCACAAACCCCUGUGAACUUACCACAUUUUGUUGCUUCGGCGGGCUGUAUCUCGCCACCUCUCUCUCCGGAGGGGUGCCUGGUGCGCUAAGGCUCGCCGAGGGUAUUAAAACUCUUAUUAUUUACUGAGUCUUCUGAAUUUAAAAGAUAAAUAAAUCA